AAUCCUGGCUCAGGAUGAACGCUAGCUACAGGCUUAACACAUGCAAGUCGAGGGGCAGCAUUCUUCUAGCAAUAGAAGAGAUGGCGACCGGCGCACGGGUGAGUAACACGUAUCCAACCUACCGAUAACUCCGGAAUAGCCUUUCGAAAGAAAGAUUAAUACCGGAUAGUAUACGAAUAUCGCAUGAUAUUUUUAUUAAAGAAUUUCGGUUAUCGAUGGGGAUGCGUUCCAUUAGUUUGUUGGCGGGUAACGG
rnacentral:rRNA from 1 species